CAGUCGCCGCGGUAAUACGGAGGGAGCUAGCGUUGUUCGGAAUUACUGGGCGUAAAGCGCGCGUAGGCGGUUACUCAAGUCAGAGGUGAAAGCCCGGGGCUCAACCCCGGAACUGCCUUUGAAACUAGGUGACUAGAAUCUUGGAGAGGUCAGUGGAAUUCCGAGUGUAGAGGUGAAAUUCGUAGAUAUUCGGAAGAACACCAGUGGCGAAGGCGGCUUACUGGCUCAUUCUAGACGCUGAGGUGCGAAAGCGUGGGGAGCAAACGGGAUUAGAUACCCCGGUAGUCCCUGUCUCUUAUAA
rnacentral:rRNA from 1 species